rnacentral:rRNA from 1 species
UGGGGAAUUUUCCGCAAUGGCGCAAGCCUGACGGAGCAACGCCGCGUGAGGGAUGAAGGCCUCUGGGCUGUAAACCUCUUUUCUCAAGGAAGAAGAUCUGACGAUUCUUGAGGAAUAAGACACGGCCAAUACCGUG